UUCCCUGCAAAUGAAGAGAAGAGGUGAGGUCAGAGUGAGCUCCGCAUACGCGAGGGGACAGAGGCCUGGCUUCAGCCCGCCCUGUGCGCCCUGGAUCCAGGGUUCCCGUCUUUGACAAGGGUACUUGCAUGAAAUCACCCCUGGGUUCUAGGGGUUCUACGACAACCCUUCAUUCCGUGGCAUUGAUUCUAAGAUUUGAGGCUCACUUCGGUCCAGUGGUGGGAAAGGGUGGGGUGGUAACAACAGCCCUGAUCAACUAUCAGGAAGUCUUGACUCAAGGAUAUGGCAUGAUCCUUUUGCCUAGUAUUUCCUGAACCUCAGUUUCCCUGCUGGAGCAGUAGGAAAGUAGCCUGUUUCCUACAGUGAAUCUAUGGGGUGCUCACUGCGGAGCUCUCCGGAGUGUACCUGCCUGCAGGAGUCCCAGGGACUUAACACGGGCCUGGCUGCCAAGAACGGGGAACCGGUUUUCUCGGUUUCUUUUCCCUUCCAUAGUGGCUUGGCCCGGUCCUCCCAGUCUUUGGUUCUGCACAGUGAAAGUAACUACCCAUCCAGUGUUGCCAGGCCCCCAGAGCUCUCUGGAGCCACUACCUAGGGCUAGUUUGGCUCCGCCCAGCUGCGCUCUCCGCGCCUUCACCUAGGCAAGAACCAGGCCUCCCCCGAAGUGGAUCUGAAUUCUACAUGGACCACAUCUGCUCAUGUCCAUGAGGUGGCCACUGCUAGAAGCCGGGAGCUGGUCUCUUGCUGAGGCCGAGGACCCCGGAAUCAAGCGGAGGGAUGGAGGAGUCACGGCAUUCUUUUACUUUUUCAAGCGAUAUUUGACAGAUGUUACUGAGGCAUGGAGCAUGCUGGGCUCCGAAGGUAGCCUAAACAGAAGAGCCCCGCCCCGCACCUCCUUCUCGGACCCCAGUCGCUCACUCACUUGGGCAGAACGGGCCUCGGAGAGCCCACUGGCGGAGCGCACCGAGCAGGGGAGAGUACAGGCCCUUUCUGGGCGCAGCCGGCUGACGGAGAUUCCCACAGCUGUGUCACCUGCCGCAGCGCCACAUCUCGGGCUGGGCAAGAAGAUGACCGGCGCCAGCGAUCCUGAGGAAGCAGGAGGACCCCCGGAGCGCUAGAACGCACCGACCGCAAGGGGUGCUUUUUACUGCUACCCAGGUGACACAGAGGCGCCAGCGCUCGAGUUGGUGCAGAGCGCCCGGUUCCCUCGCCUCCCAGGGAACUGGGGGUGUCCUCCUCGCGUCCCAGCGCAGUGCAAAGCGGGCGGUGCGCGGGGGUCUGGGAGAGGACCUGCUAUCUGGGGAUCGUCCUCCCUCCCCCCGCCCGGCCCCGCUGGCUCUGGCACCUCAGGACGUCGGCCUCGCUUCCACUCGUCCAGGGGUCGCGCGCUGCUUGGAGUCCUGCUUUCCUUCCUGCACCACCUGGCCUCCGCGCUGCCCUGUUUCCUGUUCGACAAUGUAUGAGGGAGGCACCAGCGGAGCGCCCGGCAGAACUUCCUCCCCGCCUGGGGCUGGGCUGCGGUUGCAAAAGACAAUCCCCGGUAUCCCGGCUUCCUGUCCCCUGGGCCGGUUUGCGCCCCAGGAGCCGAGACACCACCCCUUCUUCUGUACACCUCAUGGGAUGGGUCCUGGGCCAAGCUAGCUGUCUCUAGGGAUGAGGAUGCCGGUGGCCUCCCACCAACUUCAGCACGAUUUUCCUCCUUGAGACCCCUGCCCUUGUAGUGUUAGAGAAGGAAGUCCCUCCAAUCUGCUCUGCAGCCUUCUGGAGGUCAGGGCCUCUAGUGGAGUCCAGGGCCUUCCUCUUGGGGCCACUCUGGGAAAGUAGCCUUGCCCCUCUAACUAGACCCAGUUUUCACUCCAGGCUUGGGCUAAGCAGCUCCUGUGGACUCAUUCUCAGGGCUUGCAUCUCCAUAGGUCUCAUGCUGAGUCUGCUAAGUGCCCAUGUUUGAGAGAAGGGAGCCCCCAUCCUAAGCCUGAUUCCAGGUAGCCUGAACAGCACCAAGGGAUUGGUUGGAAAUGCACCUAUAAACUGCCUCCACUCCACUGGGGACCAAAUCCAAGGAACCCUGUACUACUGAACCAUGUGACACAGCCCUUUUAUGAGACCAUCCUAAAUUGUUUAGGCUGGGCUGGAACUUCUGAUCCUGCCUCAGCCACCUAAGUUGGGGUGUGCCAUGAUGCUUUACAGUCUCAGACCGGUUCUCACUAUUUAAGACUGAACUUGAUCCCACUUUGUAGUCCAGGCUUGGAUCAAACUCAAAAUGAUCCUUUUGCCUCAGGUUCCUAAGUGGUGAAUUCUAGGCAUAUGCCAGUAUCAUUACUGUUUGUAUUGUAAGGUCUGCAGGUUAGGUUUGCUUUUCCAAACCUCCCCUUCUCCAGGUGGAGGGGAAACUUAUGCCCUUAAGGGUACUUUGCCAAGGACUUUCCCCAGCCUGGCAUCGCUCCUCCUGCCUAUUGCCCCUGGCGGGGAACCUGCUGGGGGAGCUGGGCUCAUGGAUGGACAGGGGGUGCCCUAGUCUUCAACAAAAAGCUGCAGAUCUGACCAUACGUUUUCUGCCUUAUUUUCCUACAACCUGGCUCCCUGGGAUUUCGUUUUCCUUCUUUUGUUCUUUAAGGGACAGUAAGGGGGUUCUGAGGAACAGAGCAGCCAAGUACAGGCCUUAAAUCCACAGCCUGAGUUCUAGGACCCUACUAAACUCGUUCUCCUACUCCUUCCUGUUCCUUGAUUUCUCCUGUGUUCCCGAGGCUGCAGUGCUCUGACAUCUAAGGCUUAGGAAAUGAAGCCACAGGCAACCAGCUUCAGCUACAACAGUGCAAAGCCCUGCCCCUCCCCCUGGGAACCUGCUCCUUGCCAUGAAAGGGAGGCCGGACACUGUUGCUCGAAUUCUUUUCUCCUUGCCCUUCUGGUGCAUAAACCCCUGCCCGCAAGUGUGCACCCUUGGCUACAACUCUCCUGGACCAGAGAUGGACUAAUAGAAGGGCCCCUUUAGCCCUUGCCAUGGUUGAUAGCUCCUCCAGUAGCAGCGUUAGUGUUCUAAAAUCACAGAGAGAUAAGAAAGACCAGCUCUUUACUGCAAAAUCAUUCAAAAGCACACAGCAGCUUUAAUACAUAGCCAAGCACUUCUCAGGGGCUGAGCCUGUCUCAAAAGUUUAUUGCAUACAGUAACAUCUGAAGACAUGUGGACAUUGCUGAGGCUCACAGCAGCUCUCCUCUGGGGUGUGGGGUGAGAGCCAACGCACUGCAUUAGCAGCUUUUUGGUAACAGGAGGGGCCUGGUUUAAUGUUCAUGGUGGCAGGGUGGGAGGAGGCCCCAGCACCCAGGGCUUGUUCCUGCUGCCUCCCAGGGGACCUGGGAUGUACUCCUAGGCCCAUGUCCACCCCAGGUAACUCCUCCCAUUCAGGUACCUGGGAUGUUUGUGGAAGCAUUAAUGCUGGCUGUGGGUGUGGGGUGGGGAAAUGGACCACUUCCGGGUUCUGGAGGCCUGUAUUCUGGGCAUAGGUGUCUUCACCUUCCCUUGUGGGAACACAUAAUGGGGCCAGAGGAGCUGUGUUGCAGCUGUUGCCACCUCCCUACUGCCUCCUCAGUUCUGUUACACAAUUCCUCCAGCUCUGGGCUGGGCAGGUGACUCAGCAGCCCUAUCACCACAGGGAGGGAAGGAGGUCACUUUUGUUUGUUUCCUUCCUUCCUUCCUUCUGUAAGUGCUGGAUGGGACCAGGGCCUUGGGUGUGCUAGGUGAAUGCCCCACACAGGGCUGUAUCCCCACACAAAGGCUCACCUCCUGACUCUGAAAGAUGUAUGUCCUGAGGCCUCCACUUGAAGACAAGGCAGGUGGGGUGGUCAGAGGGGCCUGCUGGUGCAGGAGAGGAGGGGACAGCAGAGCUCACACCCAUGCUCCCCCCACCAUGCCUUUACAGUCUGAACAUCACCUUGAGAACAGUUCAGGUUCUCAUCCUGUUCCAAGGCCUCUUUCAAAAGGUGAUCAUGCUCUAAGGAGCUUUCAAGGCUCUGGCAGUGCCCUGCUGGGCCAGUCCAGGAGGCUUUGUGAGCCCAUGGCUUGGUGGGCCGGAGUUGUGCAGGUUUCCACAUGGCAGCUUCUUGGCCUGUGCAGCUCAGGACAGGUCCCUGCCCCAGUGCAGGGCCCACAGCUGGCUUGGUCUAGGCUCCUUGCCCUCUUAGGGAUCCAAGUUUUUCUGCCCUGGCAAGGUCGGGCAGGUGGGGAUGUGACCCCUAGAGCCACAUGAGGUGGCCCUGGCCAUUUGUGGAGGGCAUGAGGUUAAAGGCGGGUGAUGCUAGCCUUUCCUGAACAAGGAAGGCUCAAAGUGCUGACAGUGCUGGUUUUGAUUUAUUUCUCCUUUUCUUGCUAAGGCCAGUGCCCCAGACCUGAGAAGAGCUGGGGACUGAUGCCGAGAAAGGGGAGGCUUUGGUGAGGAGUGUGGGGCAUGCAGCCAAGAAGAGGUGGGGAAGGAAGAUGACAGUCACCAGGACUAACCCUGACUCUGCCAUCAGCAGCAGGUCUGUCUGUCAGUGGCUGUGCCCGGUCACCUGCUUGCCCCCGUCACGCCAAACAGCUCCCACACCCUUGGCUCAGGGUGAGAAGGCCUGGAUUUUUGGGGUGACUUGCUUACGAUCAAGAAUAAAAAAAUAUUUUCUG